rnacentral:rRNA from 1 species
UACGUAGGGUCCGAGCGUUGUCCGGAAUUAUUGGGCGUAAAGGGCUCGUAGGCGGUUUGUCACGUCGGGAGUGAAAACUCAGGGCUCAACCCUGAGCGUGCUUCCGAUACGGGCAGACUAGAGGUAUGCAGGGGAGAACGGAAUUCCUGGUGUAGCGGUGGAAUGCGCAGAUAUCAGGAGGAACACCGGUGGCGAAGGCGGUCUCUGGGCCAUACUGACGUGAGGAGCGAAAGUGCGGGUGGGACGAACAGG